rnacentral:rRNA from 1 species
GACGGAGGGUGCAAGCGUUGUUCGGAAUUACUGGGCGUAAAGGGCGCGUAGGCGGUCUGUUAAGUUCGGUGUGAAAGCCCCCGGCUCACCUGGGGAACUGCGCCGGAAACCGACAGACUCGAGUACCGGAGAGGAGGGUGGAAUUCCUGGUGUAGCGGUGAAAUGCGUAGAGAUCCGGAGGAACACCAGUGGCGAAAGCGGCCACCUGGACUGCACCUGACGCUGAAACGCGAAAGCUAGGGGAGCGAACGGG